GGGGAUGUAGCUCAGUGGGUACAAUGCUUGCCUUGCAUGCAUAAGGCCCUGGGUUCAAUCCCCAGCACCACCA
rnacentral:tRNA from 1 species